UAAUGCCGGAUGCUCCAGUUGAUCGCAUGGUGUUCUGGGAAAGCCUUUGCGGCAUGGGAUGGGGUCGCGUCCUAUCAGCUUGAUGGCGGGGUAACGGCCCACCAUGGCUUCGACGGGUAGCCGGCCUGAGAGGGCGACCGGCCACAUUGGGACUGAGAUACGGCCCAGACUCCUACGGGAGGCAGCAGUGGGGAAUAUUGCACAAUGGGCGCAAGCCUGAUGCAGCGACGCCGCGUGAGGGAUGGAGGCCUUCGGGUUGUAAACCUCUUUUGUUAGGGAGCAAGGCAUUUUGUGUUGAGUGUACCUUUCGAAUAAGCACCGGCUAACUACGUGCCAGCAGCCGCGGUAAUACGUAGGGUGCAAGCGUUAUCCGGAAUUAUUGGGCGUAAAGGGCUCGUAGGCGGUUCGUCGCGUCCGGUGUGAAAGUCCAUCGCUUAACGGUGGAUCCGCGCCGGGUACGGGCGGGCUUGAGUGCGGUAGGGGAGACUGGAAUUCCCGGUGUAACGGUGGAAUGUGUAGAUAUCGGGAAGAAC
rnacentral:rRNA from 1 species